rnacentral:rRNA from 1 species
GAUGAACGCUGGCGGCGUGCCUAAUACAUGCAAGUCGAGCGAACAGAUAAGGAGCUUGCUCCUUUGACGUUAGCGGCGGACGGGUGAGUAACACGUGGGUAACCUACCUAUAAGACUGGGAUAACUUCGGGAAACCGGAGCUAAUACCGGAUAAUAUUUCGAACCGCAUGGUUCGAUAGUGAAAGAUGGUUUUGCUAUCACUUAUAGAUGGACCCGCGCCGUAUUAGCUAGUUGGUAAGGUAACGGCUUACCAAGGCGACGAUACGUAGCCGACCUGAGGGGGUGGUCGGCCACACUGGAACUGAGACACGGUCCAGACGCCUAGGGGAGGCAGCAGUGGGGAAUCUUCGGCAAAGGGCGAAAGCCUGACGAAGCAACGCCGCGGGAGUGAUGAAGGUCUUCGGAUCGUAAAACUCUGUUAUUAGGGAAGAACAUACGUGUAAGUAACUGUGCACGUCUUGACGGUACCUAAUCAGAAAGCCACGGCUAACUACGUG